rnacentral:rRNA from 1 species
AAACUAACAAGGAUUCCCUUAGUAACGGCGAGCGAACCGGGAAGAGCUCAAAUUUGAAAUCUGGCGUCCUUUGGGCGUCCGAGUUGUAAUCUAUAGAGGCGUUUUCCGUGCCGGACCAUGUCCAAGUCCCUUGGAACAGGGUAUCAAAGAGGGUGACAAUCCCGUACUUGACACGACCACCGGUGCUCUGUGAUACGUCUUCUACGAGUCGAGUUGUUUGGGAAUGCAGCUCAAAACGGGUGGUAAACUCCAUCUAAAGCUAAAUAUUGGUGGGAGACCGAUAGCGAACAAGUACCGUGAGGGAAAGAUGAAAAGCACUUUGGAAAGAGAGUUAAACAGUAUGUGAAAUUGUUGAAAGGGAAACGAUUGAAGUCAGUCGUGUUCAUCGGACUCAGCCGGCCCUGCCGGUCUACUUCCUUUGAACGGGUCAACAUCGGUUCCGGUCGGCGGAUAAGGGCUGGAGGAAAGUAGCAACCCCCGGGUUGUGUUAUAGCCUCCUGUCGCAUACGCUGAUCGGGACCGAGGAACGCAGCUCGCCUUUAUGGCCGGGGUUCGCCCACGUCCGAGCUUAGGAUGUUGACAUAAUGGCUUUAAACGAC